AAAACACCGUGCCUGAGAGUUAACUCAGGCAGCUCCUCGUACAGCAGGCCAGGAGAGCCAAUACACUGCACUCUCCACACUGCAUCCAGGUAAGCAGAAGACACUAUUGCUUUGAGGACCCAUUUCCACCAGGAAGAAGCAUUUGAGAAGGGCAUGGGAGGGUGUGACCUGGGGAGAGGCGUGUGUGAGGAGGAGCAUGGCCUAAGAAGAGUCCCAGGGGUCUGGCAGAGAGACCUGAGGGGUUACAUGCAGGCCCCAGGACUGAGGUUCCUCAUCCCUGAAAAAGAGGGACAAGAACGUAUCCUUUUCACUGCACUUUGCAAAAUUCUGUAAUCUAAACCCUGAGAGAAGCAACGAGAGCACGAGAUUGCUUGUUAAUAUUUUAGAACCUGAACCUGAACGGCUGUGUCAGAUACAAAAAUCACUUUCAGCUGUCAAAAUAUCCCAUGCAAUUUCCCAGAGCAUAAAAGCAGAAGGUCUGUCAGAUGUGAAAGGUGGUAAGAAAGGCUGUGGUAUUUACUCCUACCUUGUCAAAUAAAUUCUGCACCAUAGUUGAAUUCCGUAUGUGCAGCACCCUGGAAUCUUGGAUAAAACACCAAAUAAUACUGGCCAGAUAUUGCAGCAUUAACCACCAUCACAGUGACUCUUGCAGCUCCUGAGCCGAAUGGGAGUGUGGGAGUCUUUGUAUAUUACCCAGUCCUAUGAUUUGAGUCCAUGUGGUGUAGUGGUUAAUGUUGGACUAAGACCUGUGAGACCAGGGUUCAAAUUCCCAUACAGCCAUGAAGGUCACUGUGUCACCUUGGGCCUAACUUAACACUCAGUCUUGUUGUGAAAAUAAAAUAGCGAGGGGGGAAACAUACAUGCAUGCCACCUUGAACUCCUUUGGGGGGGGGGGAAGAUAUCAUAUAAAUCAAAUAAAUAAUGUCUGAAGAGGACUUUCUUCAAUAGAGAUACACACUGUCCAUUCUCACAGCUGUGGUCCAACUCAGAUGCAGAUUACAAGGUGUUAUUUAAAGGUCGAAAAAGAAAUAAUAUAAUGUACAGUUUAGGGUGCAAACCUGUGGUCCUUGGAAGGUGACCCAGGAGGCAUAGGAUAGUGGGGGUCUCCCUUCCCACAGAGACAAGAUGUGUCUUUGGAAGCCUUUUUGGUAUAACUGCUGUCCCUUCACCAUCAGUGCUCCAAUGGUUGUAAGGAGAUAAAAUGAGUGUGAGCGGGGUGUGUCCCACCUCCUGUCCUGGUCAGCGCAUGACUGGCAUGGCUCUGGAGCUGGUGUUUCUUCCAGCCUGGAUUCUCCAGUUGGGUUGCUCUGUCCAUUAUUACAACCAGGAGGGGCGCCAUUUAAAUCAUUUGCCAUCGGCACAGAAAUGCCUUGGGCCAUCUCUGGGUGUUUGUGCCCUAGCUCUCUGCUUGUUCCAUGUAUAUUCAAUAGCAUACGAGGUUUGUGUUAAGUGAAGUCUGACCACAGGAACAAAUUACCUUGCCUUUAAGGCUAAUUUAAGCCUGAGGGAACUGGUUGUUUAGCAGGGAGUUGAAUGCACAUGUGGCUUCUCAAUCAAUAAUUAUGACUUCCAACAAUUUCUGGAAUCUCCACAGGACUAUCAGCAUUCCAGAGCAGAGGUGAAGGCAGGGACGAAUUCCUUCCUCUCCGUUUUUUUUCCUCCAGCACCCCAUGGAAAAAUUCUUUCAGAAGAAUGCCUUGCUCUUCACAGGUGCUUUAUGGCUGAUAUUUCAUAGGAAAGAAGCAAUCAGGUAGCAUGCAGAGUUCUACUUGAGCGUGAAUAAUAUACCACAUCCUCUGUUGCCAGAAGCAUGAGGGUUUCCUGUUGAUUUUAGUAAGAGGUGAAUUUUACUUGCUUUCACAUCUUCAUUGUAAGCUGAAGGUGAGGAAGUUUUGAGAAAACCUGCUCAAAAAGCCAGCUUAUGGAAACAGAAUCUACGAUUACAACCCAGAGCUUUAGAUCAUCCUCUGUUUGGUAUCACAUCACUAAGGUGAAGAAGCGAACAAUAUUUUUUUAAAAGGAAAAUCAUUACCAUUUGGGGGCUUACAAGAAAUUGUGUGAAGAUGGAGGAUAAAUGAUGGGAAAAUUAAUGUAAUACCCUGAGACUCCUGAGUUCCAGGUCUGUUAUUUAUUGUUUACUUAUUUGCUUUAUUUAUAUCCUGCUUUUCCUCCAACAAGCUCAAGGCAGCAUACAUAGUUCUCCAUCGUAGGUUAGAGUUAAGGUUGGCGACUGGUGAAUUUUAUGACUGAGUGUAUAUUUGAGCAUAGAUCUCCCCAGGUCUCGUCUGGCACUCUAAUUAGGAGUUGCCAACAUUUUUGAAUCUGUGGGCAUAUUUCAUAUUUUUCAUCAAUCACAAAAUGUCUGCAGUAGGGGUGUGGCCUGUCCAUACAUCAUUCUGCUUUGUUCUGGGAUGCUUCUCUAACAAUACUGCAUUAUUGCCCGCUGGAGGGGCACUCUUGGACUAUAGUGCAACAAAAGUGGGACACACACACACACACACACACACACACACACACACAAAGCACAGGACAUGCACUGAUUAGAAACUUAGCAACACUCUGCAUGAACAGUGUUGAAAGCAAGGUCACAUAUAUACAACCAACCUGAUAACAUUGUGAGCAUAAAUCAUCACAAAUGCAGAAUUAAAAGGAGAUUUCACAUAGAUUCCUGAUCAUCACCAUCUUUCUCUCUGAAGAAGCUUCCCACUGAAGUGACUACCAUGUCCCCACAAAAAUGGUAGGCAUAUCCUUUGACUGCAGAAAAGUGCAAAGCCUGGGCGAGUGCCCACCAGUCAUAUCUUACCUUUAAUCAAGUGCACUUGUGCUCAUUGACGAAGCUUAGAUACUGUGUUUCACUGCCAUAUUUACUCAUAAUACAUAAUCUGGAUUAUUUCUGCUCACUUUAUUGCUCUGUUGAACUUUCUACUUAUAGAAGUUCCUGUUUAAAUAAGGAACAAACAGUCCAGAGCCCAUAUGCUGUAACUUGCUGCAUCUCUCCCUCUCUGCUGCCUAGGUUUUCUGGCUCUUCUCACAGAGGACUGGUUCACGUGUUACACUCAGUGGAGUGUCACCUUUUAAUUUGUGAGGGCUCUCCAUUCACGUGAGUUGUGUAGUAAGAGCUCACAGCUCAUGAGUUUCAGACACAGUAAAGUCUGCGAUUUUGGAUACUAUCUGGAAAUCAUGAAAAAUGACACGGCUGAGACUCAUUCAUCUAUCAACUCACAUAUUACUUUGCUCAUGCAAAUGAAAAAUUCAUGUGCAUAAAAAAGUGUGUGUGUGCACACACACACGCACACAGAGGCACGUUUGGCAAAAGACAGUUGCAACUAAUGCCACAAUGAGACUUGACUUAUUUUGAAGACAAAAACAAUGAAAGGUUUCCCAGGAUGGCAUCUGCACAACACAAUAAAAAACCAAUAAUGUAAACAAUAAUAUUAAGAAGAAAUAGAAAGGACUUAUAAAAUAGCAUAUGGUAAUAUUAAAAUGCCUUAGAAAAUAAAAAAAAGUUUUUUUGCCUGGUGCUAGAAUCACAAAAUAAGUGGGUGCCAAAUAUCUCUCUCUCUUUUGCCAUUCACUAUAACUGUAAUUGCAGGACAGGCGACAGGGAUAAGAAACCUCAGGCCUGGGGGCCCAAUGUGUCAAUCCAGGACUUUCUAUAUGGCCCUCAAGACUCUCCCAAGACCAACCACUCACCCCACCUGUUCUCUGCCCUCAUCAAGUCCCCUUGCCUCUUGCUUGCCUGGAUGUGUUUAUGUACACAAGUUUUUGCUUCUCCCCAGCCCAUGACUGUGUUGUAUGGAGAAGGAAAGAAGCCAAAUUCUGGCCUUACUGCUUGUGGUUUAUGUGGCUUGUUUCUGUUUGUGUCCCCCAACUUUUACAACCAUCAGAAGGUGGGGAGAAGCAAAGCACUAGCGCAUGUUAUUCCCUCGUUAAUUUUAUUCUUAAUGCUACCUGAAAAUGGGGCCAAAGUUGGAGGAAAAUAAAAGAUGGGGGUACUUAGAGAAAGAUGCAUGUAAGCAGAACUUUUAACUAUUUGUCAGCAUAAAAACCCCUAUUUCAGAGAAGUGCUACCCUGAAUAUUUUUCUUAUGAGUCAGCGUUUUAGAUAUAUGGCAUUUUGUUUGCCCAGAAGCUAUAGGAUAUUCCUCUUUGUACCUUGUGAAUUCAAUCACUUCUGGCAGGGAGGGGGUCUUGCGGUGGCUGACUUCCCAAUUUAAAUUCUGUUGGGCCUAUGGAACAGAGAUGGUUCUGUUCAGGAUAGACUCUUUGUUCCCCCUCGAUGAGAAUUUAAAAAUUGUUCCCAGUGGUGAUAUCAUAGCCAUCUACAUUCCCACAGUUGCAACAAUGGAAGUUAUUGAGAGGCAUGACAUUUUCGUUUAAUACUUACAUUGUUACAUACUUUUAUUUUUUUAUAUAUAUAAAAAAGAACCAAAAAAAGUGUUUUGACAAAGAAUGUUAGAAUGAUAGAAAUAUAUUGUUGGAAGAGAUUCCAUGACUAAUCAGUUUUUCAUUAGCACAGCAGCUUUGGGUGGGGGCAAUAGAGUUGCUCUGAAUGUGGACGUAGCUGGUGGCUGUUGUGGGAUGCCUCUGUAUAUAACAAUGAUGUUUCUUCCUGUAAUCCUGAGCACAAGUGGGCCAGAUUCAGAAAAUAAGUAACUAUGGGCAAUGGCCAUGAAGCUAGUGACCAGUGUUCAGGGAUGAUGGAAGCUGCUGUCCAACAAUAUCCAAAAGGCCACAAGUUAUUCAUACCUCCCAUAAAACAUCCCGAAAAUGAUCAGCUAACCAACCAUUCCUUGUAAAAUCUCAAAAUCGAACAAAUUCACAUCCUGCUAAACGUAUUGCAGAAACUCCUACAGAGGCAGGGAAUCUGUCCUUUCAUUCUUCCAGGGAUAGUGCAGUGUAAUUACAAUCAUAAUUACAAUUGUCAGUGUUGUUGUUGUUAUCAAGUCGUGUAUCCACAGCAGUGACGAGAGGAGAAAUGACCUCUGGGAGGAGUGCAGAGAGAAGAAACGCCAUGGUGCAUCUGCAGCAGCACAACUGGAAGCCUUCAUCUGCCCCUGCUGCAAAAACAUGUCUCUCCUGCAUCGGUCUCUACAGCCACAACCGGCGCUGCAACCUUCCAUCAGCUUGACUUCAACCCCAAAGGCGCACUCCUCCAUUGUCUCCCAAGAUAUUAUUAUUAUUAUUAUUAUUAUUAUUAUUAUUAUUAUUAUCCCAAUUGACCAAAACAGAAGACACUUGAGUCAAGAGAAACAUACAGAUUGAUAUACAGAAUAGAGCUCAAUUUUCUCCAUUAUGGAUAUUCUGAAUACUGCCACUUAACAUUCAUUUGGAAGAAGUGCAUCAUUGUGGUUUGUGUUCCUGGCAAAUGAUUCAGAUGAUCUGUUUCUUUCCCUCCAGCCACCGCUCUAAAUGUAGUGCAACCAAAGCUGGUUGGUUUUCUGGGUGUGAUUUUUUUUUAGCUUUCCAUGCUCUGAGUUGCAAUGUGAAUUGCACAUUACACACACCAACACACACAUCAAUAAUGGAUUGUAGAAGAGGACAUCAAGGCAUUUUCUGAAUCUUCUUACCUUUGUUCCUUUAUUGCAUUACUGAUAGAUUCCCUCCUUCUUUUAAAAAAGAUGAUUGAAUGUUUCUUUAAAAAAAAUGCUCUCUCAUUUUAAAUUAAGUUUUAUGAAUUAUCUACAUCACUUAUAAUCUGUCUGUUGCGUGAGCCAGCUAAAACUCAUUAAGCAUAUCCUAACUAUCAUUUUGAACUUAAUGGUUUCAUCAAACGUAUCUGUACCUUCACUCCUAGCAUACUGGACAAUGCCUUUAAGGUUCUGAGGAUUAAUGAAAAUAUCAUUCUUAUCUGAUUGUGCCUAAAUUAAAUCCUCAUUUGAGAGAGGUAGCUGCUUCUAAUGUAUUUCUAGUGGCGUUUGUUGAAAUCCAACAAAACUCUGUAAAGUAAGGAAAUUAAAUAUUAAAAUGGAAUACCC